rnacentral:rRNA from 1 species
CUGCUGCCUCCCGUAGGAGUUUGGUCCGUGUCUCAGUACCAGUGUGGGGGACCUUCCUCUCAGAACCCCUACGCAUCGUCGCCUCGGUGGGCCGUUACCCCGCCGACUAGCUAAUGCGCCGCAUGGCCAUCCGCAGCCGAUAAAUCUUUAAACAUCGGGAGAUGCCUCCCAACGUUGUUACGCGGUAUUAGACGGAAUUUCUUCCGCUUAUCCCCCUGCUGCGGGCAGGUUCCAUACGUGUUACUCACCCGUGCGCCGGUCGCCGGCAG